rnacentral:rRNA from 1 species
GGGACACGUGGUAUCCUGUCUGAAUAUGGGGGGACCAUCCUCCAAGGCUAAAUACUCCUGACUGACCGAUAGUGAACCAGUACCGUGAGGGAAAGGCGAAAAGAACCCCGGCGAGGGGAGUGAAAAAGAACCUGAAACCGUGUACGUACAAGCAGUGGGAGCACGCUUAGGCGUGUGACUGCGUACCUUUUGUAUAAUGGGUCAGCGACUUAUAUUCUGUAGCAAGGUUAACCGAAUAGGGGAGCCGAAGGGAAACCGAGUCUUAACUGGGCGUUAAGUUGCAGGGUAUAGACCCGAAACCCGGUGAUCUAGCCAUGGGCAGGUUGAAGGUUGGGUAACACUAACUGGAGGACCGAACCGACUAAUGUUGAAAAAUUAGCGGAUGACUUGUGGCUGGGGGUGAAAGGCCAAUCAAACCGGGAGAUAGCUGGUUCUCCCCGAAAGCUAUUUAGGUAGCGCCUCGUGAAUUCAUCUCCGGGGGUAGAGCACUGUUUCGGCAAGGGGGUCAUCCCGACUUACCAACCCGAUGCAAACUGCGAAUACCGGAGAAUGUUAUCACGGGAGACACACGGCGGGUGCUAACGUCCGUCGUGAAGAGGGAAACAACCCAGACCGCCAGCUAAGGUCCCAAAGUCAUGGUUAAGUGGGAAACGAUGUGGGAAGGCCCAGACAGCCAGGAUGUUGGCUUAGAAGCAGCCAUCAUUUAAAGAAAGCGUAAUAGCUCACUGGUCGAGUCGGCCUGCGCGGAAGAUGUAACGGGGCUAAACCAUGCACCGAAGCUGCGGCAGCGACGCUUAUGCGUUGUUGGGUAGGGGAGCGUUCUGUAAGCCUGCGAAGGUGUGCUGUGAGGCAUGCUGGAGGUAUCAGAAGUGCGAAUGCUGACAUAAGUAACGAUAAAGCGGGUGAAAAGCCCGCUCGCCGGAAGACCAAGGGUUCCUGUCCAACGUUAAUCGGGGCAGGGUGAGUCGACCCCUAAGGCGAGGCCGAAAGGCGUAGUCGAUGGGAAACAGGUUAAUAUUCCUGUACUUGGUGUUACUGCGAAGGGGGGACGGAGAAGGCUAUGUUGGCCGGGCGACGGUUGUCCCGGUUUAAGCGUGUAGGCUGGUUUUCCAGGCAAAUCCGGAAAAUCAAGGCUGAGGCGUGAUGACGAGGCACUACGGUGCUGAAGCAACAAAUGCCCUGCUUCCAGGAAAAGCCUCUAAGCAUCAGGUAACAUCAAAUCGUACCCCAAACCGACACAGGUGGUCAGGUAGAGAAUACCAAGGCGCUUGAGAGAACUCGGGUGAAGGAACUAGGCAAAAUGGUGCCGUAACUUCGGGAGAAGGCACGCUGAUAUGUAGGUGAAGUCCCUCGCGGAUGGAGCUGAAAUCAGUCGAAGAUACCAGCUGGCUGCAACUGUUUAUUAAAAACACAGCACUGUGCAAACACGAAAGUGGACGUAUACGGUGUGACGCCUGCCCGGUGCCGGAAGGUUAAUUGAUGGGGUUAGCGCAAGCGAAGCUCUUGAUCGAAGCCCCGGUAAACGGCGGCCGUAACUAUAACGGUCCUAAGGUAGCGAAAUUCCUUGUCGGGUAAGUUCCGACCUGCACGAAUGGCGUAAUGAUGGCCAGGCUGUCUCCACCCGAGACUCAGUGAAAUUGAACUCGCUGUGAAGAUGCAGUGUACCCGCGGCAAGACGGAAAGACCCCGUGAACCUUUACUAUAGCUUGACACUGAACAUUGAGCCUUGAUGUGUAGGAUAGGUGGGAGGCUUUGAAGUGUGGACGCCAGUCUGCAUGGAGCCGACCUUGAAAUACCACCCUUUAAUGUUUGAUGUUCUAACGUUGACCCGUGAUCCGGGUUGCGGACAGUGUCUGGUGGGUAGUUUGACUGGGGCGGUCUCCUCCUAAAGAGUAACGGAGGAGCACGAAGGUUGGCUAAUCCUGGUCGGACAUCAGGAGGUUAGUGCAAUGGCAUAAGCCAGCUUGACUGCGAGCGUGACGGCGCGAGCAGGUGCGAAAGCAGGUCAUAGUGAUCCGGUGGUUCUGAAUGGAAGGGCCAUCGCUCAACGGAUAAAAGGUACUCCGGGGAUAACAGGCUGAUACCGCCCAAGAGUUCAUAUCGACGGCGGUGUUUGGCACCUCGAUGUCGGCUCAUCACAUCCUGGGGCUGAAGUAGGUCCCAAGGGUAUGGCUGUUCGCCAUUUAAAGUGGUACGCGAGCUGGGUUUAGAACGUCGUGAGACAGUUCGGUCCCUAUCUGCCGUGGGCGCUGGAGAACUGAGGGGGGCUGCUCCUAGUACGAGAGGACCGGAGUGGACGCAUCACUGGUGUUCGGGUUGUCAUGCCAAUGGCACUGCCCGGUAGCUAAAUGCGGAAGAGAUAAGUGCUGAAAGCAUCUAAGCACGAAACUUGCC